GCGGACGUGGCGAAACUGGUAGACGCAAGGCACUUAAAAUGCCUCGCCAGAGAUGGUGUGCGGGUUCGAUCCCCGCCGUCCGCACCA
rnacentral:tRNA from 1 species